AGUAAGUAUAACGUUUCAAGAUGGCGGAGCGAAUUGCAUGGUUAUUGUUACAAUUACGAUGGAUUCGCAGAUAAUUCGGAAAUAGAUCAGAUUGGGAUCAAUAACUGUAUUGCAUACGAUCAUUUACAUGUAUUACCAGGUGUGUGUUGCCAGUAAUGGUUGAAGAUAUGCCAAACAAAUUGUGCCUCUCUAUACAGACAGAUUUCAGGUCUCAAUUUCGACUUCAAAGGUCAACAUAUCACUGAUAUCAGGAAUUCUGUACAACUGUGGAACCAUGUAUGGUACGUGACCGCACAAUGUUGGUUGGCAAAAGGAUAUUGGAAUAAGCAAAGGGACUCAACAUUACACAGUCAUUUCAACAUGUAGAGUCUUGUCAGCAAUGAUGGAGCAGUACCUGGUACUUCAGAUUUCCAGAAUCUCGUCAUGAGCUGAAGAUCAUUGCCUAUGAAUUUCAUGAAUGAUGUAGAAUGAUUGGACUGUUGAUGGAACCCACAGUGCAUGUCCUGCUUCAACAUCUGAGCAUAGGUCCUUGUUUAUCAGCAGUUUAGUUCUUCAAGCAGUCUGUGACAGUAACUUGAAAUGUUUGGACAUAUGACCUGGAUGGCCAAGUUCUGUGCAUGCAGCCCAUUUAAAUAGGAACGGCCCAGUGGCGCAUUAAAUGGACAUUUUUCGAAUGUUCUCGAGGAUUCAGCUUACCGCCUGACAAAAAAUCUUGCUUUUUGUUCAGUAUCGAGGCCAUGGACAUUUGUAUCAUUUGCAAAAGAUACUGCGAUAUAUGUGCCUUUGUUCAUGCUUUAUAGUUGAUUAACAAUUGGAAGCCAUAACCUGUUUUAUAGGAUGGUGUUAGUGGGACAAUGAAUUUUGUAAAGAUUUAAAGACUGGAAAAGAUAAUUAAAAGUCAAAAGAGUUCUGCUAUUGUUAAGCAUGCUUUAUUGAUUUGUAAUGUUAGAAAGAUAGCAUUAUUAACAGAAUAAAAUGUCCAUAAUUUGAA